rnacentral:rRNA from 1 species
GAUGAACGCUGGCGGCGUGCCUAAUACAUGCAAGUCGAGCGAACGGACGAGAAGCUUGCUUCUCUGAUGUUAGCGGCGGACGGGUGAGUAACACGUGGAUACCCUACCUAUAAGACUGGUAUCACUUCGGGAAACCGGAGCUAAUACCGGAUGAUAUUUUGAACCGCAUGGUUCAAAAGUGAAAGACGGUCUUGCUGUCACUUAUCGAUGGAUCCGCGCUGCAUUAGCUAGUUGGUAAGGUAACGGCUUACCAAGGCAACGAUGCAUAGCCGACCUGAGAGGGGGAUCGGCCACACGGGAAGUGAGACGCGGUCCAGACUCCUACGGGAGGCAGCAGUAGGGAAUCUGCCGCAAUGGGCGAAAGCCUGACGGAGCAACGCCGCGUGAGUGAUGAAGGUCUUCGGAUCGGAAUACUCUGUUAUGAGGGAUGAACAGAUGUGGAAGUAACUGUGCACAGCUUGACGGUACCUAAUCAGAAAGCCACGGCUAACUACGUG